rnacentral:rRNA from 1 species
GACGGGGGCCCGCACAAGCGGUGGAUUAUGUGGUUUAAUUCGAUGAUACGCGAGGAACCUUACCAAGGCUUAAAUGGGAAAUGACAGGUUUAGAAAUAGACUUUUCUUCGGACAUUUUUCAAGGUGCUGCAUGGUUGUCGUCAGCUCGUGCCGUGAGGUGUUAGGUUAAGUCCUGCAACGAGCGCAACCCCUGUCACUAGUUGCCAUCAUUAAGUUGGGGACUCUAGUGAGACUGCCUACGCAAGUAGAGAGGAAGGUGGGGAUGACGUCAAAUCAUCACGGCCCUUACGCCUUGGGCCACACACGUAAUACAAUGGCCAGUACAGAGGGCAGCUACCAGGCGACUGGAUGCGAAUCUCGAAAGCUGGUCUCAGUUCGGAUUGGAGUCUGCAACUCGACUCUAUGAAGCUGGAAUCGCUAGUAAUCGCGCAUCAGCCAUGGCGCGGUGAAUACGUUCCCGGGCCUUGUACACACCGCCCGUCAAGCCAUGGAAGUCUGGGGUACCUGAAGUCGGUGACCGUAACAGGAGCUGCCUAGGGUAAAACAGGUAACUAGGGCUAAGUCGUAACAAGGUAGCCGUACCGGAAGGUGCGGCUGGAACAUCUCAUUUUAGA